GGUUUGUGGCUCAGUGGUAGAACGCUCACCUCGCACGUAGGAGACCAUGGGUUCAAUCCUCAGCACCA
rnacentral:tRNA from 1 species